AUACGGAGGGUGCAAGCGUUAUUCGGAAUCACUGGGCGUAAAGGACGCGUAGGCGGGUUGGCAAGUCAGAUGUGAAAUCCUACAGCUUAACUGUAGAACUGCAUUUGAAACUGCUAACCUAGAGUAUGGGAGGGGGAGAUGGAAUUAGUGGUGUAGGGGUAAAAUCCGUAGAUAUCACUAGGAAUACCGAAAGCGAAGGCGAUCUCCUGGAACAUAACUGACGCUAAGGCGUGAAAGCGUGGGGAGCAAACAGGAUUAGAAACACCAGUAGUCC
rnacentral:rRNA from 1 species